rnacentral:rRNA from 1 species
UACGUAGGGCGCAAGCGUUAUCCGGAAUUAUUGGGCGUAAAGAGCUCGUAGGCGGUUUGUCGCGUCUGUCGUGAAAUUCCGGGGCUCAACUCCGGAUCUGCGGUGGGUACGGGCAGACUAGAGUGAUGUAGGGGAGACUGGAAUUCCUGGUGUAGCGGUGAAAUGCGCAGAUAUCAGGAGGAACACCGAUGGCGAAGGCAGGUCUCUGGGCAGUACCUGACGCUGAGGAGCGAAAGCAUGGGGAGCGAACAGG